AUUUCAACGGGUCUUUCGGCCAAAAAUUGGUCAGAGCUCUUGAGUCAUUAAAAUCACCUUGAAUUUUUGGUCGGGCUUUCGGUAGGUGAACCUGCGGAAGGAUCAUUACUGAGUGAGGGCCCCUCGGGGUCCAACCUCCCACCCGUGUUUAACGAACCUUUGUUGCUUCGGCGGGCCCGCCUCACGGCCGCCGGGGGGCUCCCGCCCCCGGGCCCGCGCCCGCCGAAGCCCCCCCUUGAACGCUGUCUGAAGUUUGCAGUCUGAGAAACUAGCUAAAUUAGUUAAAACUUUCAACAACGGAUCUCUUGGUUCCGGCAUCGAUGAAGAACGCAGCGAAAUGCGAUAACUAAUGUGAAUUGCAGAAUUCAGUGAAUCAUCGAGUCUUUGAACGCACAUUGCGCCCUCUGGUAUUCCGGAGGGCAUGCCUGUCCGAGCGUCAUUGCUGCCCUCAAGCACGGCUUGUGUGUUGGGCCCCCGUCCCCCCCUCUGCCGGGGGGACGGGCCCGAAAGGCAGCGGCGGCACCGCGUCCGGUCCUCGAGCGUAUGGGGCUUCGUCACCCGCUUUAGGGGCCCGGCCGGCGCCAGCCGACCCCAACCCUAAAUUUUUUCAGGUGACCUCGGAUCAGUAGGUAGGAAAAGUCUCU
rnacentral:misc_RNA from 1 species